GGCUCGGUAGCUUAGUUGGUAAAGCGCUCGUCUAGCAUACAAGAGUCCUGGGUUCGAAUCCCAGCCAGGUAA
rnacentral:tRNA from 1 species